rnacentral:lncRNA from 1 species
GGUUGAUGAAUAUCUAGGGAAAAUAGAAUUAAAUGAAUUAAAAGAAGAAGAUUGGUCAGUUUUAAACCAAUUUAUAAGCAAAGAAGAAUGUCUAAAUAAUAUUAAAGAUUUCGAAAACAAUAAAUCCCCAGGUAUAGAUGGCUUAGGUAAAGAGUUUUAUCUAAAAUUUUGGAAUGUAAUUGGGGAUGAAGUUGUUGAAAUUGUAAAUAAUAUAUACUUAAAAGGGGAAUUAACCGAAACAAUGAAAAUGGGUAUAAUCACAUUAAAUUAUAAAAAUAAAGGGGAUAAAAAAGACCUAAAACAAUGGAGACCUAUAAGCUUAUUAUGCUUUGAUUAUAAAUUAAUCACAAAAACUUUAGCUAAAAGAUUAUCUAAAGUAAUAAAUAAACUAGUUGAUAUAAAACAAACAGGAGCUGGCG